rnacentral:sRNA from 1 species
GCCCCUUAUACGCUGGGCUACACACGUGCUACAAUGGGUAGUACAGAGAGUCGCAAAGCCGUGAGGUGGAGCUAAUCUCAGAAAACUAUUCUUAGUUCGGAUUGUACUCUGCAACUCGAGUACAUGAAGUUGGAAUCGCUAGUAAUCGCGAAUCAGCAAUGUCGCGGUGAAUACGUUCUCGGGUCUUGUACACGCCGCCCGUCACACCACGAGAGUUGGUUGCACCUGAAGUAGCAGGCCUAACCGUAAGGAGGGAUGCUCCGAGGGUGUGAUUAGCGAUUGGGGUGAAGUCGUAACAAGGUAUCCGUACGGGAACGUGCGGAUGGAUCACCUCCUUUCUAAGGAGAAAAUGUCUUUCUCUAUUCUAUUGGUAAUGUUCUUUACAUUACUUCUGAACAUUGGAAACUAUAUAGUAGAACAAACAAGAAAACAAAAUUAACUCUAACAAUUUCUUAGAGUUAGCUGUCAAAAAAAUAGAUUAAAAUAAUUAAGGGCACACAAAGGAUGCCUUGGUAGUAAGAGCCGAUGAAGGACGUGGUAAGCUGCGAUAAGCCUAG